GCGGACGUGGUGAAAUAGGUAGACACAGUGGCCUUGGAAGCCACGGGGGCGAGCGCUCAAACUCAGAUGCCCCGUGCCGGUUCAAUCCCGGUCGUCCGCA
rnacentral:tRNA from 1 species